CCUACGGGGUGCACCAGUAGGGAAUAUUGGACAAUGGGCGAAAGCCUGAUCCAGCAAAGCCGCGUGAGUGAUGAAGGCCUUAGGGUUGUAAAGCUCUUUUACCCGGGAUGAUAAUGACAGUACCGGGAGAAUAAGCUCCGGCUAACUCCGUGCCAGCAGCCGCGGGAAUACGGAGGGAGCUAGCGUUGUUCGGAAUUACUGGGCGUAAAGCGCACGUAGGCGGCUAUUCAAGUCAGAGGUGAAAGCCCGGGGCUCAGCCCCGGAACUGCCUUUGAAACUAGAUAGCUUGAAUCCAGGAGAGGUGAGUGGAAUUCCGAGUGUAGAGGUGAGAUUCGUAGAUAUUCGGAAGAACACCAGUGGCGAAGGCGGCUCACUGGACUGGUAUUGACGCUGAGGUGCGAAAGCGUGGGGAGCAAACAGGAUUAGAUACCCGCGUAGUC
rnacentral:rRNA from 1 species